GGGUGCCUUCCCUGGGGUCCAGUGGGAACCAGGCUGGCCAGGUACAGGUCAAGGGCAGGAGCUGCGAUAGCUGCUGCUGGCUGCUCUGCUCCAAUGCAGAUUCCUAAUCACAAGUCGUGGGAGGAACUGAUCUGAGAUCACUUUCUCUCUAAGUGCUGCAAUGUGUAAAUUGAGGAUUGUCCCUCACCAUCUGCAAUCACUGCUCAGGUUUGCACUAGUUGCC